AUGUGGUAGUGUGCAGUGAAUGGAGAAUUAAUGUUGAAAUGCGUUUAACCACCAUUUUGGAGUCAACGGCCGGUAGUCCACGUGCUACUUGUAAAGUCCAGCUAUCGCUUUACAAGAGUUAAUAAAAUCACCGGACACUGUCUUGUACUAACCGUACAAUUUUAUUAAACACGUUUCAAGAUUAAUUCUCCAUUCACUGCACACUACCACAUUAGUUUACUGUAUAAUAAGCUAU